AACGAACGCUGGCGGCGCGCCUAAUACAUGCAAGUCGAGCGAGAAGACGUAGCAAUACGUUUGUAAAGCGGCGAACGGGUGAGGAAUACAUGGGUAACCUACCCUCGAGUGGGGAAUAACUAGCCGAAAGGUUAGCUAAUACCGCGCACGCUCCUUGGACUUCGGUUCAGGGAGGAAAGCGAUACCGUGGGUAUCGCGCUCUUGGAUGGGCUCAUGUCCUACCAGCUUGUUGGUGAGGAACGGCUCACCAAGGCUUCGACGGGUAGCUGGUCUGAGAGGACGAUCAGCCACACUGGCACUGCGACACGGGCCAGACUCCUACGGGAGGCAGCAGUAAGGAAUAUUGCGCAAUGGGCGAAAGCCUGACGCAGCGACGCCGCGUGGGGGAUGAAGGUCUUCGGAUUGUAAACCCCUUUCGGGAGGGAAGAUGGAACGAGCAAUCGUUCGGACGGUACCUCCAGAAGCAGCCACGGCUAACUUCGUGCCAGCCGCCGCAGUAAG
rnacentral:rRNA from 1 species